rnacentral:misc_RNA from 1 species
UAGUAAUAAGUGUAAUAUAGGAGUGUGUUUGCGAAAAUGAUAUUUCAGCGAAAGACUUUAAGCGAGCGCAAUCGGCCCAGUUUUACAAGCUUAGCUAAAUCCUGUGCCAUGAAGGAGAAGAGUAAAAAUGCCGCUCGCACUAGACGUGAAAAGGAAAAUGCGGAAUUCUUCGAACUGGCCAAAUUACUACCACUACCAAGUGCAAUUACAUCACAGUUGGACAAGGCGUCCAUCAUAAGAUUAACAACAUCGUAUCUGAAAAUGCGUCAAGUCUUUCCCGAUGGUCUGGGCGAGGCGUGGGGCACUUCACCGGCAAUGCAACGCGGCGCUAUCAAAGAGCUUGGCUCACAUUUGCUGCAAACAUUGGACGGUUUCAUAUUUGUUGUGGCACCGGAUGGCAAAAUUAUGUACAUCUCCGAAACGGCAUCCGUACAGCUGGGACUCAGUCAGGUUGAACUCACCGGCAAUUCCAUAUUUGAAUAUAUACACAACCACGAUCACGAUGAGAUGAACGCUAUACUCUCACUGCAUCCUUAUAUGUACCAAAAUCCGGAUGCAUUUAUUAAUUCAUUACAUCUACCACAGAGCGGCAAUCCACCCACCGGCCAUGCGAACGUCAUCGGCAGUCCGAAUGGCAGCUAUGGCAAUGAUCGUGGUUCGCAUACGAUCGAAUUGCAAAAAUCCUUCUUCCUGCGCAUGAAGUGUGUGCUGGCGAAACGGAACGCUGGACUCACCACAUCUGGUUAUAAGGUUAUUCACUGCUCUGGCUACUUGAAAGCGCGCAUAUUUCCUGACUAUGGCGACGGUCAUGGCGGUUACAUACAAAAUUUGGGCCUUGUAGCUGUCGGUCACUCUCUGCCUUCGUCUGCGAUAACGGAAAUUAAAUUACACACAAACAUGUUUAUGUUUCGGGCGUGUAUGGAUCUGAAAUUAAUAUUUUUAGAUGCGAGGGUAUCCCAACUCACCGGCUAUGAACCGCAAGACCUCAUAGAGAAAACCCUCUAUCAGUACAUACACGUUGCGGACAUUGGAGCCAUGAGCUGCGCCCACCAAACACUGGUAUACAAAGGACAAGUCACCACCAAAUACUAUCGCUUCCUGACGAAGGGCGGCGGCUGGGUCUGGGUGCAGUCGUACGCGACCGUCGUGCACAACACACGCUCCUCGCGCACUCACUGCAUCGUCAGCGUAAAUUAUGUCCUUAGUGAACAAGAGGCCAAAGACUUGAUUCUCAAUGAAAUACAAACGGGUGUGGUUAAGAGCGAGCCAAUCACCGCUUCGGCUGCGUUGACGCCAUCUUUGCAUGCGGCACACGCAGCUGCCGUCGCCACACACCCGGCGCUAAGCAAUGGCAUUGCCGUUGGCAGUACGGCGAGUUGCGCGGCGCUCAGCGUGAGUCCCAAACUGGACGCGUGUUUUGAGAGUGCUGGCGUACAUCUACCACCAAACGUGCUUACACCGGUGUUGACUGGCGGCAGCAGCAGCAGUGGUGGCGGCGGCGCCGGCAACGGCGUAGCGCAUAACAAUAACAACAAUAAUGCCUAUAUGACGGGACAUAUAAUGCACACGCAACUGCCGCAUCAUCAGCACGCGCAUCUGCAUGCACAUCCGAAUGCGCAUGUGCACACACAGCACGCGCAUCAUCUGCAUCACGUGCAUCCGCAUGCGCAUGCUCACGAAGUGCCGCUACCACCGCAAACACAACACGAAAACCUCAACUAUACAACGCUCUUCCCGCCGAUCAACGAUCUCGUGGUCACUUCAUCGACGCUCGGUCACGAAAUGCAAUACCCGGACACAACCACCGGCCCCGGCUACUACGGCGGCAGUGUCGGCACGAACAAUAGCAAUAACAACUCGGGCAGUGAACACUACUACUAUGAGGCGACGCCAUCAGCCACGUCACUCAAUCGACCGUACUCGGCGAAUUCCAAUAGCUGUUCCAGCAGCGCGGAAAGCGAGCGCCAAAUGUCCACCGGAAAUGCAUCGAUAAUAACGGGUAAUUCGCCGCAGACGACGUACAGCGAGUUGAGUCACACAUUUGAAUUGCAUUACUUGUCGGAUAGCAGUUCGCAUCAACAGGCCGCUAUGGCGGGACCACCGACUACACAACAACAACAGCAGCAACCACAACAACAUCACCUACAAUCUAUGGAACAUCAUCAACACGCGCAUCAUCACCAAACACAUCAGCUGCAGCAACAAAACUUGGCGUCCAGUCACAUUGCCACGCUGCAACAGCCAGCGACGCCACAGUCUCAGUCACAACAACAACAACAAAUGGAGCACCAGCAAAUGCAUCAGCAUCAUCAAACAACGCUGGUUGCACAUCAACUACAACAACACGAGCAUGAACAACUACAACAGCAGCAGCAACAACAACAACAGCAUGAGCAUAUUGCGCGCUCAUUCGCCGUGGCCGUGGAGAAGGGCGUCAGCGUGCCGCCACAAUACACCAGCGUCAUUGUUGACCCCCAUCAUCAUUAUAUACCCAACGAUUUUGUACAUUAGCAUUUGCUAGCUGGUACGAUCCACAGGAUCGGUAGCAGUCAAGCACGUAUUGUGCUCUUAUUGGGGGCGCCUUGGGUGUCGUCAUGUUGCUAUGACCUUAUAACGGGUCGCAGCGCAAUGUUGUUGUUAAUUUUAAUAGUUCUAAUUACUGCUAAUUAAAUUGGACUGAGUCACAAAAAUACAUAUAUUCGAAUAUGGUCUGCAAUAGCUGUGGAAAAGGCCGCAUAUGCAGUUUUACACCAGAAGAGCUAUGAGAACCCAGCAGGCAUUUUAAUGCGAAUAAAUUGCCAAAAUUGUUUUAUUUAAGGCAAGUUUAAUCAAAUUAAUUAAAUUUUUUUUUCCAAAAAGUUAGU